CCUACGGGUGGCAGCAGUGAGGAAUAUUGGUCAAUGGCCGGAAGCCUGAACCAGCCAAGUCGCGUGAGGGAAGACGGCCCUACGGGUUGUAAACCUCUUUUGUCGGGGAGCAAGUGGCAGGUCGGGACCUGUUGUGAGAGUACCUGAAGAAAAAGCAUCGGCUAACUCCGGGCCAGCAGCCGCGGUAAUACGGAGGAUGCGAGCGUUAUCCGGAUUUAUUGGGUUUAACGGGUGCGCAGGGGGCGGGACAAGUCAGCGGUAAAAUCGCGGGGCUCAACCCCGCUCCGCCGUUGAAACUGUGUGCCUUGAGUGCGCGAAGGGUAGGCGGAAUGCGUGGUGUAGCGGUGAAAGGCAUAGAUAUAACGCAGAACUCCGAUCGCGAAGGCAGCCUACCGGCGCGCAACUGACGCUCAUGCACGAAAGCGUGGGUAUCGAACAGGAUUAGAUACCCUAGUAGUC
rnacentral:rRNA from 1 species